rnacentral:rRNA from 1 species
AUGAACGCUGGCGGCGUGCCUAAUACCUGCAAGUCGAGCGAACAGACGAGGAGCUUGCUCCUCUGACGUUAGCGGCGGACGGGUGAGUAACACGUGGAUAACCUACCUAUAAGACUGGGAUAACUUCGGGAAACCGGAGCUAAUACCGGAUAAUAUAUUGAACCGCAUGGUUCAAUAGUGAAAGACGGUUUUGCUGUCACUUAUAGAUGGAUCCGCGCCGCAUUAGCUAGUUGGUAAGGUAACGGCUUACCAAGGCAACGAUGCGUAGCCGACCUGAGAGGGUGAUCGGCCACACUGGAACUGAGACACGGUCCAGACUCCUACGGGAGGCAGCAGUAGGGAAUCUUCCGCAAUGGGCGAAAGCCUGACGGAGCAACGCCGCGUGAGUGAUGAAGGUCUUCGGAUCGUAAAACUCUGUUAUUAGGGAAGAACAAAUGUGUAAGUAACUAUGCACGUCUUGACGGUACCUAAGCAGAAAGCCACGGCUAACUACGU